rnacentral:tRNA from 1 species
GCAGUGGUGGUUCCUUGUAGAACUCAUGCCUUCCAUGUGGGAGACCCGGGUUUGAUUCCCGGCCAGUGCA